rnacentral:rRNA from 1 species
GGGGCAACCCUGGUGGCGAGUGGCGAACGGGUGAGUAAUACAUCGGAACGUGCCCUGUAGUGGGGGAUAACUAGUCGAAAGAUUAGCUAAUACCGCAUACGACCUGAGGGUGAAAGCGGGGGACCGUAAGGCCUCGCGCUACAGGAGCGGCCGAUGUCUGAUUAGCUAGUUGGUGGGGUAAAAGCCUACCAAGGCGACGAUCAGUAGCUGGUCUGAGAGGACGAUCAGCCACACUGGGACUGAGACACGGCCCAGACUCCUACGGGAGGCAGCAGUGGGGAAUUUUGGACAAUGGGGGCAACCCUGAUCCAGCAAUGCCGCGUGUGUGAAGAAGGCCUUCGGGUUGUAAAGCACUUUUGUCCGGAAAGAAAUGGCUCUGGUUAAUACCUGGGGUCGAUGA